rnacentral:rRNA from 1 species
CAGAGGGUGCAAACGUUGUUCGGAAUUACUGGGCGUAAAGCGCGUGUAGGCGGUUAUGCAAGUCGGGUGUGAAAGCCCAGGGCUCAACCCUGGAAGUGCAUUCGAUACUGCGUAGCUAGAGUACUGGAGAGGAUGGUGGAACUCUCGGUGUAGAGGUGAAAUUCGUAGAUAUCGAGAAGAACACCGGUGGCGAAGGCGGCCAUCUGGACAGAUACUGACGCUGAGACGCGAAAGCGUGGGGAGCAAACAGGAUUAGAUACCCUGGUAGUCCACGCCGUAAACGAUGGGUGCUAGGUGUCACGGGUAUUGACCCCUGUGGUGCCGAAGCUAACGCAUUAAGCACCCCGCCUGGGAAGUACGGCCGCAAGGCUA